UACGGAGGUGGCAAGCGUUGUCCGGAAUUAUUGGGCGUAAAGCGCGCGCAGGUGGUUUCUUAAGUCUGAUGUGAAAGCCCACGGCUCAACCGUGGAGGGUCAUUGGAAACUGGGGAACUUGAGUGCAGGAGAGAAGAGUGGAAUUCCACGUGUAGCGGUGAAAUGCGUAGAGAUGUGGAGGAACACCAGUGGCGAAGGCGACUCUUUGGCCUGUAACUGACACUGAGGCGCGAAAGCGUGGGGAGCAGACAGG
rnacentral:rRNA from 1 species